UGAGAUAUUUCUUCGCUAACUUGGGUGCAUCUUAAACUAAAACAAGGCCUAACACUCUCCAAAAUAGCAUGUGCUCAGUAGAUGCCCAAUAAGUGUAAGUUAGAUGAGUGACCUGUUACAUCCCACUAGGUACCUCUUGCCCAUAUGCUAUCUUAGGUGUAUUAGAAUAGUUGCUCUUUCAUCCUGCAGAUGUAGCCCCACUCUAAGAUACAGCUAUCCACAGUACAAUGUCCAAUGUGGGGUAUGGCCUUGCAAACAAACUCCUUCCUCUCUCUCUUCCGCUAGGUUUCCGCCAUUUGCAACAUCUUUCCUGGUUGGUCCAGGAAAGGCAGGCUUGAUUGACUGUCCUAAUCUCCAAGUGGGUCAUCCCACUUGCUCUUCUAGAACCUGGCUACUCUAAAGGACAUGGGAAAGCAGCUGAGCCACUGGGGAAUUAGUUCCAGGAAUGUCACUAAAGUUAUCAGACUGGGAACAAGUCUCUGAACCAAGACCAUUUUCUCAGCUUUUGGAGGAGUCAGCGCCCUGCCACAAAAUUGAACAGUAGGGAGAUACUGCCUUCCUCCUAGCAAAUCUUCAAAAGAAAUGUUUGAAUGAUCCUCACUGUUGGAAAGAGUUUGGGGGAAAUGGGCAUUCUCAUGUAUGCUGGUAAAUGGACCUAACUACCUGGAGAACAGCCUGACCACAUGGAGACAGCCAAAGAGACAUGAAUGCCAGACGGUGUAGAUCCAAAGGACCUCUCAUCUAUGGCUGGUGGAAGUGUAAAUUGAGUCCCUAGAGAAAUACUCGCCUCGAACAGCUGAAGAAUUCUGGAUUAUCCGUCAAGAUAUAGCUCAAACAUCAGCUUCUGUGGAAAUGCUUCCCCCACUUUGCCAAGCAACAAGCCCAGCUUCACCUCUUCGGUUCCUGAUUAAUAAAUGAUUUGUGUACCUAUUGCACUGCCUCUCUGGCUGCCAGAGCUAAGCUCAGCGGUCUGUGCACCUUUGGGUUUCCCCUCUUCCUAUCCCUCUCCCCAUCAUCUCUUGCCCAUGUGCCUUGCCCUUAUGACUGCCGUGUGGUCAGUGCUAAUUAAAUGUUAAUUUUGGAACACAGAGCUAUAGGGAUUUUGGGUAUGACCUACUAGAAAUCCCAGAGCUUAGAAUCAAACCCCUCAGUGGAUCUCUGACACUUGAAAAAACUAAGAUAACUUUCUCCAGAAAAAAGCACCUGCAAAAGAAAAUUCCCAGUUGCAUAGCACUAUACACACACUAGCACAUACACAAAUGUGGAUCUUAUAAAACUAGGAAAUCUAGGGGGUGGGGAUUUAGCUCAGUGGUUCCGUCGCCUGCCCCCCCAGUUUGAUCCCUGGUACCAAAAACAAAAACAAGACAAAAAAACCUAGGAAAUCUGAAUGUGAGGGGCCGAUUGAAUCAAUAACAGUAUCAGAGUUGUGGUAUGGUACUAUAGUAUUACAAAGUGUUACCUUAGGAAAUGAAUCUAUGUAUUCUUACAACUGCGUGUAAAUCUAAAACUGUCUCAAUAAAAAUUCCAAUAACAGAAAAUUCCCACACAUGAUCUUUUACAAGCUGAUAGACUUCCCCCCAACCCACCUCUGCACUAAGAAAUUGAGAACUCCCAGUACAGCCCAGUCCCCAUGUUGCUGACAAGAAAGGAUCACUCAGGUUCCUGGUGACAGAGGUGGGAUGAGUCCACAUCUUUUCUCCUCGUACAACAACUGAUUCUUGGAGGAAAGAGAGUGCUUUGCCCAUUGUGGUAUCAAGUUAAGACAAGACCAGUACAUCAGGACUGAUACUCGCCAGUGCGGGGAAAUAGCACCCAG